UACGUAGGUGGCAAGCGUUGUCCGGAUUUACUGGGCGUAAAGGAUGCGUAGGUGGAUAUUUAAGUGAGAUGUGAAAUACCCGGGCUCAACUUGGGUGCUGCAUUUCAAACUGGAUAUCUAGAGUGCAGGAGAGGUAAGUGGAAUUCCUAGUGUAGCGGUGAAAUGCGUAGAGAUUAGGAAGAACACCAGUGGCGAAGGCGACUUACUGGACUGUAACUGACACUGAGGCAUGAAAGCGUGGGGAGCAAACAGGAUUAGAUACCCUGGUAGUCCACGCCGUAAACGAUGGGUACUAGGUGUGGGAGGUAUCGACCCCUUCCGUGCCGCCGUUAACACAAUAAGUACCCCGCCUGGGGAGUACGGUCGCAAGAUUAAA
rnacentral:rRNA from 1 species